CGACACAGCGUGGGAGAGCCGCUCAGGCGGCGCCGUAGGUGCAAUCCCUCCCCGGGAAACUCUCAGGCCCAGUACCGCGAUGUGCAG
rfam:Brevibacterium yomogidense strain B Co 03.10 genome assembly, contig: Scaffold1